CGGGGGGAGCAAGCGUUGUUCGGAUUUACUGGGCGUAAAGGGCGGGUAGGCGGCCACCGCAAGUCGACUGUGAAAUCUCCGGGCUUAACCCGGAAAGGUCAGCCGAUACUGCGGGGCUAGAGUGCAGAAGGGGCAACUGGAAUUCUCGGUGUAGCGGUGAAAUGCGUAGAUAUCGAGAGGAACACCUGCGGCGAAGGCGGGUUGCUGGGCUGACACUGACGCUGAACUGCGAAAGCUAGGGGAGCGAACGGGAUUAGAUACCCCGGUAGUCCUAGCCUUAAACGAUGAAUGCUUGGUGUCUGGGGUUUUAUAGUCCCCGGGUGCCGUCGCUAACGCUUUAAGCAUUCCGCCUGGGGAGUACGGUCGCAAGACUG
rnacentral:rRNA from 1 species